rnacentral:rRNA from 1 species
UUAGCUGAGAGGUGGUGCAUGGCCGUCGUCAGUUCGUACUGUGAAGCAUCCUGUUAAGUCAGGCAACGAGCGAGACCCACGCCCACAGUUGCCAGCGUACUCUCUGGAGUGACGGGUACACUGUGGGGACCGCCGCUGCUAAAGCGGAGGAAGGAAUGGGCAACGGUAGGUCAGUAUGCCCCGAAUAUCCCGGGCUACACGCGAGCUACAAUGGUUGGUACAAUGGGUAUCUACCCCGAAAGGGGACGGGAAUCUCCUAAAACCAAUCUUAGUUCGGAUUGAGGGCUGCAACUCGCCCUCAUGAAGCUGGAAUCCGUAGUAAUCGCGUUUCAACAGAACGCGGUGAAUACGUCCCUGCUCCUU